GCAACAGCUGUCAGUGACACAUCAUUACCCCAACAGCCAGAAACAAGAUAAGCGCCUUGCAGGGGCCCUUAACUGACUGCUGGGUUCGAUGGUUCAAAGAGAAAAAGCACGUGAUAACUUUGAAGGAGGCUGCCUGGCUGAGCUGAUCGGAUCACCUAGAGACUGGAAAUGCUUUCUGGGUAAGGGGUGUGAGAGCAGAAAGACAAGCAGUCCUCUUUCGGCUGCAGUGACCAUUGGGGUGCUCUGCCCAGGUCUCCCCGCUAGCUGCAGUGACAGUUGAUGAUGGCCAUGGCAGAGCCCGCACUGGAUGCCCCCUCCUGCUGCAGGGAAUGGCCUCUUUUCAGGUCAUAUCCCCCAGGUUCUGAAACUGACCGAGGAAGGAACGCAAAGGCUCGGCCCUCUUGCCUCAACUUGGGACAACUCUGAUGGGCCGUCCCAGCUCGAGAGCGCCACUUAGGAUUGGCUGGGGGUGGCUCCAAGUGUAGCCUCGUUGCAGCCAGCUUCAGCUUCUGCAGCAUCCUGCCUUUCUCACUUCUUUACAGGAGAAUCUCCCGAGAACACCCUCUGAUCAGCACUCUGCAUGCAAUUUCCAUCUCAGACUCUGUUUCUAGGAAGACUUUCAGGCAGCUGACACUGGACGUGGUUGUGAGUUGCAGGCCCUAAUGAAAAAUUGGAGAGGAAGCAGGUGGCCGGCUGAUGAAAUGAUAACCAGAAGGCCUGUGGGCUUGGGUGGCUGAGGCUGAGGCUACUGAGUGUUGAAGAGAGAGAGGCAGAGGCGCAGGAUGACUCAUCACUGGUUUCAGGCAAACUGUGAAAGCCAGAGCACUUCCUUGGCAGCAUUUAAGAAAACCCCGAUGAUCUGCAGCUGGAAGGCAGGUUGGCUGGAGGACCAGUCUGAACCCUGAGUAGGUUAAGUUCUCAGUCCUUCAGACACAGGGCUCUAAUGGGAAAGAGGUGAGACCCUUACACUUAGGGUGGGAGCCCUGGACAGUUGGGAACCCUGAACACUUACAUGCCCCUGAGUCCCCUGGGCCUGCAGAAAUGGCCUAUUUCUCAUGUCAUGUAGAAGAUUGUAGACUGCUUGAACCUGGGAGGCGGAGCUUGCAGUGAGCCCAGAUUGCACCAUUGCACUCCAGCCUGGGCAACAGAGCGAGACUCGGUCAAAAAAAAAAAAAAAAAAAAGCAAGACUUUCCUUUUCUGAAGAUCAUACAGAGGUCUCAAAUGAGUCUGAAGUCACCUGCCCUAUCUGGACAUUCCAUAGACUACCACUUUUACCCACGACUUCGAUGUGGCAUGCUCAUUGGACCAGAUAAGCAAGCAGUGGCAAGUGGAUUGGAGGUCUUGGUAACCAGUUCAACCAAAAUCCUGGGACAGCUGUUCCCUGAUGCGGCACACUUCCUAGAAGAAGCAAGUGAAUUUAAAGCAGAGUGAACUGUAGAGGAGUUCACGACCAAAUCUCUGAUGCUUUCCCCAGAUCUUUCUUCAGGGCCAACACAUCCAUUGCUCAGCUGUGAUAGACAGCAGUCAGGGGUGGCUCACCUCUCUCACUGGGAAUUGCUCUCAGCAGUAGGGAACUCAUUCAGGGUUAAGGCAUCUCCUUGAGGAGGCCCAUGUUCAAUUACUGGUUGACACAGGAAUAUGAAGGCCUGGCCCUCGUCUCAGCUUGGAAUAAAUCUGAAGGCCCAUCACAGCUUCAGAGAUGCUUGGAGAAGGCUGAGGUCUCCCCUGUAACCUUAUGAGAACCUUGAGUUGUUGAACUCAUUAAUUCUUUGGGACCAUCUUCCUGAUGUUCAAGUUUGUGAAACAGGCUUUCCCUUUAAGAUUUGUUUUCCUCAAAAUACAAGACUAUUGAUGCUUCAGUUUUGAAGUGGAUUCUGCACUCAAGAAAUGUACCAUUGAAGAAUGGGACUGGUAGGAAGGGAAAAAAACUAAAAGGAAACGCAUUUUCGAGUUGCACAUCAUGAUCAGGCACAGAGUCCAGAUACACUUGGAGUAGCAAGCAUCCAUCCUUGUGGAGACGCACAUGAACCAGGACUCUCUGCACCCACCCCUCUCAAGUUUUAUUUUCCGACGGCUGUAAUGUUCCAGGACACCUGCCAUCAUGGAGGGUUAUCCAGCACCUGGAGGAUACCUGCUACCUGGUGAAGGACUUUAGUACGAUGGUCAAGACAAGAACCGUGGAGUCAGAAUGCCUGCAUGCAGAUCUCAUCACCAUGGUUGGAGCAGUUGAUACGACGUUUGAAAACGAACUGCAAUUGACUUCC
rnacentral:lncRNA from 1 species